rnacentral:rRNA from 1 species
UACAUAGGGUGCAAGCGUUGUCCGGAAUUAUUGGGCGUAAAGAGCUCGUAGGCGGUCUGUCGCGUCUGCUGUGAAAACUCAGGGCUUAACCCUGAGCUUGCAGUGGGUACGGGCAGACUAGAGUGCGGUAGGGGAGACUGGAAUUCCUGGUGUAGCGGUGAAAUGCGCAGAUAUCAGGAGGAACACCGGUGGCGAAGGCGGGUCUCUGGGCCGUAACUGACGCUGAGGAGCGAAAGCAUGGGGAGCGAACAGG